CCCGUUCAUGGUUGCCUUCCUGGUUGCCUUUCUGGUUUGCCAUCCUGCUCUUCCUCCUCCCCUUUCUUCUGACCUUCGCCGUAUUCCUGUUUUCGACUGCAUUCCCCACCAUGAACCUUAAUCUGAUGACCCGACCGACUCAACCUGACCCUCGACCUGAUCAGACUCAAAAGACUACUACGCAUGGAACUCCUAUCAUGAAUUCAGCUUUUGAAAUGAAAAUGGACACUAUACUG